CUUUUCUCAGGUUAUAACAUUUAUUUGCAUGCAUGAAAAAAUGUCAUGAAAUGCCAACUGACACAGGAGACAGAUGUAGCUGCAUUGCCAUCUGUGGAGGUCUUCACAUACAGAUUGAGCAGAAGUUUAGGUAAGGCGGUGUCCAGAAUGGCUUGGGAAUUUCCCUCAUCUUGGGACAAGGAGAUGAACUUCACAAUUCUCUGCAGAGGAGGAAAGAAACCACCUCAAUAUCUGCACUCAGAAAUCUACUAAAGUGCUAAGAAGCUGAAGAAUAAUGCCUCAAGCCUUCUAGAAAACCUUAUCUCAGAAAGUCAGCUAAAC
ensembl:lncRNA